rnacentral:rRNA from 1 species
CCUACGGGUGGCAGCAGUGGGGAAUAUUGGACAAUGGGGGCAACCCUGAUCCAGGCAUGCCGCGUGUGUGAAGAAGGCCCUCGGGUUGUAAAGCACUUUCAGUGAGGAAGAACGCCUGGUGGUUAAUACCCAUCAGGAAAGACAUCACUCACAGAAGAAGCACCGGCUAACUCCGUGCCAGCAGCCGCGGUAAUACGGAGGGUGCGAGCGUUAAUCGGAAUUACUGGGCGUAAAGCGCGCGUAGGUGGCUUGAUAAGCCGGUUGUGAAAGCCCCGGGCUCAACCUGGGAACGGCAUCCGGAACUGUCAAGCUAGAGUGCAGGAGAGGAAGGUAGAAUUCCCGGUGUAGCGGUGAAAUGCGUAGAGAUCGGGAGGAAUACCAGUGGCGAAGGCGGCCUUCUGGACUGACACUGACACUGAGGUGCGAAAGCGUGGGUAGCAAACAGGAUUAGAUACCCGUGUAGUC